rnacentral:rRNA from 1 species
AACGAACGCUGGCGGCAUGCCUAACACAUGCAAGUCGAACGACACCUUCGUGUCUAGUGGCGCACGGGUGCGUAACGCGUGGGAACCUGCCCUUAGGCUCGGAAUAACUCCCCGAAAGGGGUGCUAAUACCGGAUAAUGUCUUCGGACCAAAGAUAUAUCGCCUUUGUAUGGGCGCGCGUUGUCUUAGCUAGUUGGUAGUGUAAGCGCCUACCAAGGCGACGAUCCAUAGCUGGUCUGAGAGGAAGAUCAGCCACACUGGGACUGAGACGCGGCCCAGACUACUACACGAGGCAGCAGUGGGGAAUAUAGGAAAAUGGGCGAGGGCCUGAUCGCGCACUGGCGCGUGAGUGAUGAAGGCCUUAGGGUUGUAAAGCUCUUUUACCCGGGAUGAUAAUGACAGUACCGGGAGAAUAAGCACCGGCUAACUCCGUG